AUGGCGUCGGCGAAGCACGGCAACACUGGGGGGCGCAAACCCUCGGUGUGGAAGGACUUCGACCGCGUCAUCGUGUUCGUGCCCGGCGGCACCGGCGCGGGUGCCAUGGCGGUGUGCAAGAGGUGCGGCACCACCCUCCAAGCCAGCGCAAAGAAACACGGGACCUCGCACCUCCGGCGGCACGCCAAAAGCCCCUGCUGCGCGAAGCGGGCCGCAGCGGCGGCGGCCCCUGCUGCCGGCGGCGACAGCGAUGGAGGGUUCACGAACUGGCUGGAGGGUGUUCUUCUGGUUGAGCCUCAGCUCGACUUCGCCGACCACCUCGUCAUUGCAGGAGGGGACGAGCUUGUGGAUGCCGUCGCCGAACGGGCCGUGGCGGCCCCCCCUGCUGCCGACGACGACAGCGACGGGGGGUUCGCGAACUGGCUGGAGGGUGUUCUGGUUGAGCCUCAGCUCGACUUCGCCGACCGCCUCAUCAUCGCAGGAGGGGACGAGCUAGUGGAUGAAGUCGCCGAUGUGCCGGCCGCCGGAGAUCAUGGACGCGUUUCCCCCAACUUCAUUCCAGAUGCGCUGCCCCAGGCACCGGCUUCGUCGUCCACGCGCUUCUUCCAGAAGAAAAAAAAGAGGUCUGCAAGUCUGCCUUCGCAGGAAGGAGGAACAAAGGACAACGACAAUUCUUCUCGUGCCAAGGACUGGGCGCCGACGGUCGACAAUUCCACGUUCGACGACAUGGAUUUUACUGCUUCUGGGGAUUGGGAAUGA
rnacentral:rRNA from 1 species